AUGUAUCUAGACCUUCAUUUCCCCCAAAAAUAUCAGCUUUCAUUUGACACCCAAUUUGACAUGUUCCUAUGCACUUCACAUGUUGAUGCUCAUUGGUCCUUUUUCAGGAAACUACCGGUAUGCAAACGUCCCUUCUGCUGUAAAGGAUUGGACAUGGCAGCAACAAUGAAGAGAUUGAGAUACCUGGCGAACAGUUCAGCUUGUAGUCGUGCCUCUUCUUUAGCCCACUGCGCUGCCUCUUCCUCUCCACCUCUAGUCGGCGACGCUCUGCCUUCUCAACCAACACAUUCUUCUGUUGCUCCGUACGGGCUGCUGCUUCUCCUCUGUUCUUGUCCUUUAUUACCCCAAAUAAAACAGAUCAUGGAUAAUGUAGUGAAUUCAAGGGUAGCGCCAACCAGGACUCAAACCCGGGUCCCUGCAACCAUCAGUCCAACAACUUAACCAGUCACGCCCAGAGGUCGUGAACUUCUGUACGAAGUCGCUAGGUGUUGGCACUGAGGUCACUAGUAUUUCAAAAUAACAUUGGGUAAAAGCAAUCCUGAGAAGGUUUGUCCGAAGUGACGUCAGGUUCCCUACAUAGUGCACUACUUCUGACUAGAGCCCUUUGACCCUAGGGGCCCUAGUCAAUAGUAGUGCACUAUAUAGUGAAUGAGGGGUCAUUUCCCCAUGCAUACUAUGUCCUCCAUACUCACAGUACUGAUGCUGGUGUCAGACAUGACCAGAUUUAACGGUUGGGUUUCCGCUGCCACGACAACCGAGGAGGAUGACAGUUGGUCACGAGAGGACCGUCGUUGUCCGGACGGUAAAACCUCGUCCUCACAGGAGGUCGAUCUGUGUGAUCUCUGACCUGACUGCCCAUUGGAUGAGGAGCUCCUGAAGACAAAAGGGAAUUCAGAAACUCUUGGAAGACAGUGGAAGUGUUUACAGAGCUGUGAUUGGAUAAAAACCAACCCACCUGUUUACAGAGCUGUGAUUGGAUAAAAACCAACCCAUCUUUUUACAGAGCUGUGAUUGGAUAAAAACCAACCCAC
rnacentral:lncRNA from 8 species